rnacentral:lncRNA from 1 species
AUGCAUGCAUGUCUCUUCAAAUCGCUUGACACCUACCAGCCCGUAGGAAAGUAGUUUUUGCUUGACUCUUAAGCAUGUGGGAAGAACACCAUUCUAGAAUUGUUCAAGCACAACCUAUUCAAUUGUCAUGCUCAGCUGAUUCUUCAUAUCCAAGCUCUUGAGGUUAGUCAUGGUGACAUACUAGAGGAGCUUGUCUACUACUCCCUUCGUUCCAAAUUGUAGGUCGUUUUGACUUUCUAAGUUUAUA